AAACUUUGCAAUAAGCGAAAGCUUGACAGGGCUAUCCCGAGUGCCAUCCGCUGAGGAAGGCUUUUACCCAGUCUAGAACGCUGGGGGAAUAAGGAGAGGGCAAGUCUGGUGUCAGCCGCCGCGGUAAUACCAGCUCUUCGAGUGGUGUGGAUGUUUAUUGGGCCUAAAGCAUCCGUAGCUGGCUAAGUUAGUCCCUUGUUAAAUCCACCGAAUUAAUCGUUGGAUUGCGGGGGAUACUGCUUGGCUAGGGGACGAGAGAGGCAGACGGUAUUUUUGGGGUAGGGGUGAAAUCCUAUAAUCCCAGGAAGACCACCAGUGGCGAAGGCUGUCUGCUAGAACGCGCCCGACGGUGAGGGAUGAAAGCUGGGGGAGCGAACCGGAUUAGAUACCCGGGUAGUCCCAGCUGUAAACGAUGCAGGCUAGGUGUUUGGACGGCCACGUGCCGUUCUAGUGUCGCAGGGAAGCUGUUAAGCCUGCCGCCUGGGGAGUACGAUCGCAAGAUUGAAACUUAAAGGAGUUGGCGGGGGAGCACCACAAGGGGUGAAGCUUGCGGUUU
rnacentral:rRNA from 1 species